rnacentral:rRNA from 1 species
GACGAACGCUGGCGGCGUGCUUAACACAUGCAAGUCGAGCGGUAAGGCCCUUUCGGGGGUACACGAGCGGCGAACGGGUGAGUAACACGUGGGUGACCUGCCUUUAGCUCUGGGAUAAGCCUGGGAAACUGGGUCUAAGUACCGGAUAUGACUCCGCGGUGCAUGCUGUGGGGUGAAAGCCUUGUGCGGCUGGAGAUGGGCCCGCGGCCUAUCAGCUUGUUGGUGGGGUGAUGGCCUACCAAGGCGACGACGGGUAGCCGGCCUGAGAGGGCGACCGGCCACACUGGGACUGAAGACACGGCCCAGACUCCUACGGGAGGCAGCAGUGGGGAAUCUUGCGCAAUGGGCGAAAGCCUGACGCAGCGACGCCGCGUGAGGGAUGACGGCUGGUGUAA